ACUGAAUCAGGUCGGCUUUGUGCAUUUAUUACUAAAGUAAAAAAAGGAAGUUUAGCUGAUACUGUAGGACAUCUUAGACCAGGUGAUGAAGUAUUAGAAUGGAAUGGAAGACUACUGCAAGGAGCCACAUUUGAGGAAGUGUACAACAUCAUUCUAGAAUCCAAACCUGAACCACAAGUAGAACUUGUAGUUUCAAGGCCUAUUGGAGAUAUACCGCGAAUACCUGAUAGCACACAUGCACAACUGGAGUCCAGUUCUAGCUCCUUUGAAUCUCAAAAAAUGGAUCGUCCUUCUAUUUCUGUUACCUCUCCCAUGAGUCCUGGAAUGUUGAGGGAUGUCCCACAGUUCUUAUCAGGACAACUUUCAGUAUGUAGUCAUUACAUUUACUCUUCUUUUUGGAAUAUCAAAUAGUGUUUUUAAAAUAUGAUGCUUGUUUUUUACAAACCAAGUUAUUCCUAGAACAUAAUUGUGCUUUUAACCUCCCACUUUCUCAUUCUUUUAAUUUUUGAAAUCCAAUUUUGAUUAUUUAUCAUACUGCUUCAUUUAUUAAGAGUUAGAUUUACUGAAAUUUAAUAAAAGUUACAUUUUGU
rnacentral:sRNA from 1 species